AACGCGAAGAACCUUACCUGGGCUCGAACGGCUUAAGAUCAUCCUUGGAAACAGGGACUUCUCGCAAGAGACUUGAGUCGAGGUGCUGCAUGGCUGUCGUCAGCUCGUGCCGUGAGGUGUUGGGUUAAGUCCCGCAACGAGCGCAACCCUUACUCGUAGUUGCCACCCGCAAGGGGGAACUCUACGAGGACUGCUCCGGAUAACGGAGAGGAAGGUGGGGAUGACGUCAAGUCAGCACGGCCUUUAUGUCCAGGGCUACACACGUGUUACAAUGCAUGGUACAGACUGUUGCGAACCCGCGAGGGGGAGCUAAUCGGACAAAGCCAUGCUCAGUUCGGAUUGCAGUCUGCAACUCGGCUGCAUGAAGCUGGAAUCGCUAGUAAUGGCGUAUCAGAUCGACGCCGUGAAUACGUUCCCGGGCCUUGUACACACGCUGUA
rnacentral:rRNA from 1 species